AUUGAACGCUGGCGGCAUGCCUUACACAUGCAAGUCGAACGGCAGCACGGGAGCAAUCCUGGUGGCGAGUGGCGAACGGGUGAGUAACGCAUCGGAACGUGCCCAGUCGUGGGGGAUAACGUAGAGAAAUUUACGCUAAUACCGCAUACGAUCUAUGGAUGAAAGCAGGGGAUCGCAAGACCUUGCGCGAUUGGAGCGGCCGAUGUCAGAUUAGGUAGUUGGUGGGGUAAAGGCCCACCAAGCCGACGAUCUGUAGCUGGUCUGAGAGGACGACCAGCCACACUGGGACUGGGACACGGCCCAGACUCCUACGGGAGGCAGCAGUGGGGAAUUUUGGACAAUGGGCGAAAGCCUGAUCCAGCCAUGCCGCGUGCAGGAUGAAGGCCUUCGGGUUGUAAACUGCUUUUGUACGGAACGAAAAGCUCUGGGUUAAUACCCUGGGGUCAUGACGGUACCGUAAGAAUAAGCACCGGCUAACUACGUGCCAGCCGCCGCCGUAAAAC
rnacentral:rRNA from 1 species